GUUAUUUGGAAUUAUUGGGCGUAAAGAGCGCGUAGGCUGAUUAGUAAGUUAAAAGUGAAAUCCCGAGGCUCAACCUCGGAGUUGCUUUUAAAACUGAUAGUUUAGAGAUUAAAAGAGGGUAGAGAAAUUCCUAGUGUAAAUAUGAAAUUUGUAAAUAUUAGGAGGAACACCAGUGGCGAAGGCGUCUAUCUGGUUCGAAUCUGACGCUGAAGUGCAAAAACGUGGGGAACAAACAGGAUUAGAUACCCUGGUAGUCUACGCCGUAAACGAUGAAUGCUAAAUAUAAGAAGGUCACUUUCUGUAUUACAGCUAACGCGUUAAGCAUUGCGCCUGGGGACUACGGUCGCAAGAUUAAAACUUAAAGGAAUUGACGGGAACCCGCACAAGCGGUGAAGCAUGUGUUUUAAUUCAAUGCAACGCAAAAAACCGUACCACUCUUCGACAUAAAAAUUAUACCCAUUCGAAGGAAUAGAGUCGGUCCGGCCGGAUUUCACAUAGGUGUUGCAUGGCUGUCGUCAGCUCGUGUCUUGAGAUGUUGGGUUAAGUCCCCCAACGAGCGCAACCCUAGUCCUUAGUUACCAUUAGAUAAUGUUGGGGAUUUUAAGGAAACUGCUAGUGAUAAACUGGAGGUGGGUGGGGAUUAUGUCAAGUCAUCAUGGCCCUUAUGGAGUGGGCUACACACGUGCUACAAUGGUGGCUACAAUGGGCUG
rnacentral:rRNA from 1 species